rnacentral:RNase_P_RNA from 2 species
UGGGUCGGCCAGACGGUCGCGUCGGAGACACGCCCCCGCGAGGGGGAACGGCUCCGCCGAGGAACGUCCGGGCUCCGCAGAGCAGGGCGGUGGGUAACACCCACCCGGAGCAAUCCGCGAGAAAGUGCAACAGAGAGCAGACCGCCUCCGGCCUCGUGCCGGCGGUAAGGGUGAAACGGUGGUGUAAGAGACCACCAGGGGCCCGAGCGAUCGGGCUCGCUGGGUAAACCUCGCCCGGAGCAAGGUCAGACAGACACCGUCGAGGCGGCUCGCUGAGGUGUCGGGUAGACCGCUGGAACGUGCCGGCAACGUCACGUCGAGAGAGAUGGCCGUCGAACGGGAGAGAUCCCGGGAACAGAACCCGGCGUAUCGGCCGGCCCACUUG